GCCGCACGCAGCCCUAAUUUCUUUCCCCACAUCCAGUCCCCACCUCUUCCCUCAGCGCCGCACUCACCAAGUCAACAUCGAUCCCCAUCGCCCCGCAUCAUCGCCGCCCGGUGCCGUCGCCUUGGAUCCCCCACCCGCACCAUCGCCGCCCGGCCGGUGCCGUCGCCCCCAGCCCCUUCGUCCAGUACCGCGCCGCCCCCUCUCUCUCUCGUCGCUCCUCCUCUCCCCCGAUCUGGAUCUGGAGGGAGAGCGCCUGGUCGCCGCCCUACCUUCUCUACCCGUCGCUCCCCACCUCUCCUCCCUCCCACUGUGCCUGCCUCCAUGAGCUCCGGCCUCUCCCCAGCCGGCGACGCCCCUUUCCUUCCACAGCCAACGACGACCAAUCGUCUCCGACGAGCCGCCGUGGUCUGCCCUCCUCCUACUUGAGUCAGAUCCGGCCACCCCAGCCUCGGAUCCGGCCACCCCAGCCUCGCAACCGGCAUCCACCGCCCACCUGCAUGCCUCGUCGUCGUAGGACACCGCCAGGAUUGUUGAGCUGCUGCUCCUUGUGCUGCUGUUGAUGUGUUGUGUUGAUUGGGUGCUUACCGUUGGGGAGCAUGGCAUCUGGGAGCCAAAUAUCAUCGGAGUAUGGAGAUUUGGGAGCGGAAGCGGAUUUGAUCGGGGGUCACCGUGAAGAGAGUGCUUCCUUGGCUCGCUACCAAAGGAAAAUGGUCUGCUUUUGCACCCCACAAGUUUAUAGAUGUAUGUUUUGUGAGCUAAAAGGACCUAUUGGUAGAAUCUAACUCGGUUUUUGGAUUUUAAUAUCUAUCUGAUGAAUUAGCACUCUAGGAUGGAAUCAGUUUCUAACUGAAACUAGAUGUUAUGUUUGGUGAUGUUAUACUGGAGACAUGAACCUACAAAUGUAUGUAUGUAUACAUGAUGGAUUGUUGUCCUUUUGGCUGUGAUGUAGUACUGGACUUGUGAACCUGUAUGUAUGCUGUGAUGCAGUACUAGACUCGUGAACCUACAAAUGUAUACAUAUGUAUGUAUGCAUGCAGACAUGAUGUAUUGUUGAGAUAUAUAUUAUGAUGCAACUUGAAUUA